CCUACGGGAGGCAGCAGUGAGGAAUAUUGGUCAAUGGUCGGGAGACUGAACCAGCCAAGCCGCGUGAGGGAGGAAGGUACAGAGUAUCGUAAACCUCUUUUGUCAGGGAACAAAGACUGGGACGCGUCCCCGGAUGAGUGUACCUGAAGAAAAAGCAUCGGCUAACUCCGUGCCAGCAGCCGCGGUAAUACGGAGGAUGCGAGCGUUAUCCGGAUUUAUUGGGUUUAAAGGGUGCGCAGGCGGUCUGUUAAGUCAGCGGGCAAAGCCCGGGGCUCAACCCCGGCCCGCCGUUGAAACUGGCAGUCUCGAGUUGGAGAGAAGUAUGCGGAAUGCGCGGUGUAGCGGUGAAAUGCAUAGGUAUCGCGCAGAACUCCGAUUGCGAAGGCAGCAUGCCGGCUCCACACUGACGCUGAGGCACGAAAGCGUGGGUAUCGAACAGGAUUAGAUACCCUUGUAGUC
rnacentral:rRNA from 1 species